rnacentral:rRNA from 1 species
CCUACGGGCGGCAGCAGUGGGGGAUAUUGCACAAUGGGGGGAACCCUGAUGCAGCGACGCCGCGUGGGUGAAGAAGCGCCUCGGCGCGUAAAGCCCUGUCAGCAGGGAAGAAAAUGACGGUACCUGAAGAAGAAGCCCCGGCUAACUACGUGCCAGCAGCCGCGGUAAUACGUAGGGGGCAAGCGUUAUCCGGAGUUGCGGGGUGUAAAGGGGGCGCAGACGGCGAUGCAAGCCAGGAGUGAAAGUCCGGGGCACAACCCCGGGACUGCUGUUGGAACUGGGUGGCUGGAGGGCCGGAGGGGCAGGCGGAAUUCCUGGGGUAGCGGGGAAAUGCGUAGAUAUCAGGAGGAACACCGGUGGCGAAGGCGGCCUGCUGGACUGCAACUGACGUUGAGGCCCGAAAGCGUGGGGAGCAAACAGGAUUAGAUACCCUUGUAGUC